rnacentral:lncRNA from 1 species
UAACCACUUACUACAAAGUAGCUUACUUUGUCUGCUUUAUUUUUCGCAAGUAGAUAGCUUGAUUCUAAUAUACACUUUUCUACAUCAUUACUUAGUUCAGUUACUUCUACUUCAGGUUGCAAACAGUGGAUAACCUUGUAAUUUUUACAUUAUGAUACUUGCCAUAGGAUUAUGUAGGCCUUAAUUAAAUUGAAGUAGUCUCAACUGUAAUGUUUUAACAGACAAACUAUUUAAAUGUCUCCGUGGUUUAACCACAACUUGCUUGCUUUUUUUUUUUUUUUUUUUUUUUUUUUUUUUUUUGCAGCUGCUCAGUAAACUGAGAAAGAGAAAUUAAAAGAAGAAUAUUCAGUGGUCAUUCAAAAUCUGAGUAUUCCUUUGAUGGAACUGAUAAAUAUACUAAGAGCAAAGUUGCGAAUGCCUCAGGAUUCAGGAAGCAGAAGAUUCUUAUACAGACCAGCUGAGUCUAGGAAGUGAACUAUACAAUCUUUUGGAAAGAACCUGAAGAAUCUAGUCUUUGAACCGACCUGAUGGCAAUCAAAAUCUGAAGAGGAAGUGUGACUGAAAAAGAACAAUCAGUAAGCAACAUGGUCCUUCCAGACAGACACCAGAAAAGUGCAUACAUCUGUCUAAUAGAGACCUUUCUGUGACCGGAAACCUCGUCUGCUUUCUAUGUGAUGCCCUAGGGAACAUAGUUUCUCUCUGGAUUGAGGAGAGAGAGAAAGAAGAAUGUCUGGGAGGAAGAAGAGAAAAUACCUUGUGUAGAAGCACUCUUUCCAUUGCUGAG